UACGAAGGGGGCUAGCGUUGCUCGGAAUCACUGGGCGUAAAGGGUGCGUAGGCGGGUCUUUUAAGUCAGGGGUGAAAUCCUGGAGCUCAACUCCAGAACUGCCUUUGAUACUGAAGAUCUUGAGUUCGGGAGAGGUGAGUGGAACUGCGAGUGUAGAGGUGAAAUUCGUAGAUAUUCGCAAGAACACCAGUGGCGAAGGCGGCUCACUGGCCCGGUAUGACGC
rnacentral:rRNA from 1 species